CUAUUAGGUUGGUGCAAAAGUAAUUGCGGAUUUUGUCAUUAAAAUGGCAAAACUACAAUUACUUUUGCACCAACCUA
ensembl:miRNA